rnacentral:rRNA from 1 species
UGGGGAAUCUUGCGCAAUGGGCGAAAGCCUGACGCAGCAACGCCGCGUGCGGGAAGAAGGCCUUCGGGUUGUAAACCGCUUUCAGCAGGAACGAAAAUGACGGUACCUGCAGAAGAAGGUGCGGCCAACUACGUG